UGGUCAAGUUAUUAAGGGUGCAGGGCGGAUGCCUUGGCACUAGGAGCCGAUGAAGGACGUGAUAAGCUGCGAUAAGCUUCGGGGAGUUGCACGUAAACUUUGAUCCGAAGAUUUCCGAAUGAGGAAACUCACUUAGAGUAAUGUCUAAGUAUCAUUAAGUGAAUACAUAGCUUAAUGAGGGGAACUCAGGGAACUGAAACAUCUAAGUACCUGAAGGAAGAGAAAGAAAUUCGAUUCCGUAAGUAGCGGCGAGCGAAAGCGGAUUAGCCCAAACCAAUAAAGUUUUCUUUAUUGGGGUUGCGGACAUAUCAUAACGAAGAGGUAUCGUAAUUGAAGAGGUUUGGAAAGACCCACCACAGAAGGUAAUAGUCCUGUAUGUUAAACGAGAAGACUUUAGAUAUG
rnacentral:rRNA from 1 species